UACGUAGGUGGCAAGCGUUGUUCGGAAUUAUUGGGCGUAAAGGGCGCGUAGGCGGUUUGUUAAGUCGGCUGUGAAAGCCCGGGGCUCAACCCCGGAGGGUCAGCCGAUACUGGCAGACUAGAGUACGGAAGAGGUAGCUGGAAUUCCCGGUGUAGCGGUGAAAUGCGUAGAUAUGUGUCGGAACACCAAUGGCGAAGGCAGCUCUCUGGACGGGUACUGACGCUCAUUUGCGAAAGCCGAGGUAGCGAACAGG
rnacentral:rRNA from 1 species